GGAGGUGGUUUUCCGUGGUCAAGCACGCAGCCAGUCAUGUAGGCAAAUCCGCAUGGCGCGCAUGGCGAGGUGUGAUGAUGGGAGCCGUUAUGGCUCGAUAUCCGGUUGUCCAGGCCGUCGAGAAAAGCCUCGGCGUGAGGGCCAUGGCCGCCCGUACCCCAAACCGACACUGGUGGUCAGGUAGAGAAUACCAAGGCGAUCGAGCGAAUCCUGGUCAAGGAACUCGGCAAAUCACUCCCGUGCCUUCGGUAUAAGGGAGACCCGCUGGGGUGAACCGGCUAGCCCGGGGAGCUUUGGUGGGUGGCACAGACCAGGGGGUAGCGACUGUUUACCAAAAACACAGGUGCAUGCGAAGGCGAAAGCCGCUGUAUAUGCACUGACGCCUGCCCGGUGCCGGAAGGUUAAGAGGAUCCGUCAGUCCUUCGGGAUGAAGCGGUGAAUUCAAGCCCCGGUAAACGGCGGUGGUAACUAUAACCAUCCUAAGGUAGCGAAAUUCCUUGUCGGGUAAGUUCCGACCUGCACGAAUGGCGUAACGACUUCCCCACUGUCUCGACCAGGAGCUCGGCGAAAUUGCAGUACGAGUAAAGAUGCUCGUUAAGCGCAGAAGGACGAAAAGACCCCGGGACCUUUACUAUACCUUGGUAUUGGCGUUAGGCGCGGAUUGUGUAGCAUAGGCGGGAGGCUUCGAAGCGCGGGCGCCAGCCCGUGUGGAGCCGCAAGGUGAAAUACCGCUCUGUUCUCGUUUGACGUCUAACCUCGACAAGUCAUCCUUGUCAGGGACAGUGCCUGGCGGGUAGUUCAACUGGGGCGGUUGCCUCCCAAAGAGUAACGGAGGCGCUCAAAGGUCCGCUCAGCCCGGUUGGCAAUCGGGUGUCGAGUGUAAUCGCACAAGCGGGCUUGACUGCGAGGACGACGGUCCGAGCAGGGACGAAAGUCGGAGAUAGUGAUCCGGUGCCGGCGCACGGGCGCGGCAUCGCUCAACGGAUAAAAGGUACCCCGGGGAUAACAGGCUGAUCAUUCCCAAGAGUCCAUAUCGACGGGAUGGUUUGGCACCUCGAUGUCGGCUCGUCGCAUCCUGGGGCUGGAGCAGGUCCCAAGGGUUCGGCUGUUCGCCGAUUAAAGCGGCACGCGAGCUGGGUUCAGAACGUCGUGAGACAGUUUGGUCUCUAUCCUCUGCGCUCGUUGGAAUCCUGAGGAGGCCUGCCCAUAGUACGAGAGGACCUGGGUGGACGAACCUCUGGUAUGCCGGUUGUCGCGCCAGCGGCACGGCCGGUUGGCUACGUUCGGGAGGGAUAACCGCUGAAAGCAUCUAAGCGGGAAGCCUGCUCCAAGAUUAGGAUUCCGUACGGUCUUGAACCGUUGUAGCCCGCAUGUUGAACACGUGGUUGAUAGGCCGGAGGUGGAAGCCCCGUGAGGGGUGGAGCUGACCGGUACUAACGGGCGACGGCGACAUAA
rnacentral:rRNA from 1 species